CGGAAACUUAAUCCAAAUUUGUCGGACAUCUCAUUCUGUGCUGGAAACACUGGGAGGCAGGAAGUUUGAAAAAACGGCCACUGCCGCCCGCAAUGUCUCGGUCGUGGGCUGGUCGUGGGUUCGUUAUGCCAGUUGUGCGUCAUUCUAAGCCGUUCUGUACAUUUAUACUGGAUAUUAAUUGGAGUCAUUUAGCUGUGCUGAUGCUGUUUGCCGUGUGUUUUGCAUCAGUGCUUCGUGACAUCGGCUGUAUUGCGUGUUUUCGCCGACGGCUUACUACCACAAUGGCGGGAUCUGCGUUCGCCGCCUUCGUGUCUCGGUGCGUCUUUGUACGUCGCACGUUCGGAUAACACUUUUUGCGACUGCUGGACAUCCUUCUUGUACCUUGGCGCUAGCUGGAUGACGGGACCUCAUCAUGAUCAGUGUAUUGCUUGCCUAUGUCUACAAGAACCGUCACGCGUGGCCUGUGACAGCAAGCUUUUGUGGGCAGCAAGUGCUCUCCUACGAAGGCUGGCCUACUCUGGCAGCGGCGGCAAUCAUCUUCAAGAUUUAUCCAUAAUCACCUUUGCUGCUUUUUGUCACUCUUGUUGAUUACACUUUCUGCGUCUUUUCUAAUUUAUUAGGUAAUAAAGUAUGAGUAUGUGA